rnacentral:sRNA from 1 species
AAUGAAAACCUAGUUGUAAAGGACAAUCCAUCUAUAAAUGCCAGACAUGUGUUUUCUCAAUUUGACAGUGAAGGUAAUGGUUUUAUUUCAUCAUCGGUUUUAGAAGAAGUUAUGAAAUUGUUAGACCUUGUUGCAGAUAAAGAGUAUGUGGACAUUAUGAGAGAAAAAA